GUAACUGAUUAAUGUAUAUUCGUAUCACACAUCGAAGAGAUACGAAUAUAAUUGUUAACUACAAAACAGUUACAUGUGUGUAUGUGUCUCUACAUUAUGUUGUCUUCUAGA
rnacentral:sRNA from 1 species